ensembl:lincRNA
CUUUUAAAUAAAAAAUGUCGAACCUUUCAGUCCUCAUAUUCCCAAGGCUUGGUUCCUUUGUUGCUUGUAAUUAAUUCUCUUACCUUUGAUUUUCUCUUUGGCACGUCAUGAAAACCUCCUCCCCUCAUUUGUGAAAAAUAUAAACAGUCUAUUAAAUUAGCCUGGGCUAAUAGUUGGCAGAUUGGCCUUAAUUACAUGAUAUUAUAAAGUCCCUAAGCCCGGGGUCUUCAUUACUUAUGGAAUCAAAAUUUAGCUUUUUGGGAAUUCACGCUCUUCUAGUCUGCCGUACAAAGGAUUGUGCUGAGUUGGUUGCUGCUUCCCAAAGGUACGUUCUAACCUCCCUGGUUGUCUAGUGGUUAGGAUUCGGCGCUCUCCCAAAGUUACGUUUUAACUUGGUAUAGUUGCGUUAUUCCAAGUGCACCCAAGGGCAGCCUUCUCUGGGAUCGAUCACAGCUCAGUUGCUAAAUCUACUGUUCCAUAUCCUAGCUUUACCGUGCCCUUUUGGUGACAGGUCUAUGAAAAAUUCCAUAAUAAAAGUUCUCAAAUUAUGCAUCCACUUUAUUUUUUCAGUACUUUUUCUUCUCAAGGAUGUGAUCUGUGUUCCAUUGUUGAGUGCCUCCCACCAAGAAACAACAGCCACCUGGGGAGAAAGUGCCGCCUUUGUCCUGUGGCCUUGACUCAGCUUCAAAGCCUCGUCUGGGCAUCAGACAACGUGGAUCCUCAUUUCUUAGGCAUCAGAUGGCAGCAGCACCAGCAGGUGUCUGAAGAUUACAGCCCCACUUCUGGGCCAGCCUUCUGUCUCCCAAGAAGAUUAGAUUCCACCAAGUCCCCUUUGAUAAUGGUGCUGAAUCUUAAUAGCUUUUCCUAAGGCCUGUGCCAACCCUGGUGAACUGAAGAAGUGCCAGCAUCUGUCUGAAGAGGAAAGGACAGUAACUCACCAAGAUUGACUGGACGCCCCCUCCCCACGAAAGGCAGAUUAUGAAGGGUCCUUCUGGGAAGCAUGGAACCCCAGGCACACUGGCCAGUCUUUGCUGAUGGUGGCAUGGGAAAGGCCAAACCCUCCUUUUCCUGUGCAUCUUAUCAAAAUAAAGACAGUAGUUGGACUCUCAGUUACCCGUGAUGGGAUUAUCUGUAUUUUGGAUAUACCAAGGCCAGUUUUUGAUAACCAGGUCUGUUUGGUACAAUCCACCAGCACACCCUUGUUGUUCAGACAACAGAGGGUAAUUUGUAUCUCGGCUCAGAAAAUGAGUUGGAAGGUAUUCUGGUACCUUCCACACAGGGUGUUCCAACAGCAGUGGGAUCUGGCCUCUUAGCUGUUUGCUCUCUUGUGCCCUCUGUGCUAUGCUCCACCAUAUUUUCAGAUUUUUCUCGAAUUCUUUGCCUUGCCUUGGUCUCUUCAUCUAUACAAUAAGUUCUGGAUGGGCUGAACUUAAAAAGCUUUUCUAACUGCAGCGUGCUAGGUAUUUGACCAACACCACUGACGCCACGUAAAAAGAAAUAACUUCCUCUGUUGACGAAUUAUUAUUGGGGAUGCCAUUUGGGCCUUCAUUUCUUUAUUUGUACUUGUAUUUUACUUAUUCAGUAGUUUUGACUUAUCCAUGAUUCAUAUCCUUGGUGCACAGACUAAUGGUUUGUUGCUACAUGAAAUUAUAAAGUUAAAAAAAAAAUGUUUGCCCUUCGCGAUGGCUAAUUUUAUAUAUCAACGUGGCUGGGCCAUGGUGCCCAGGCAGGUAGUCAAACAUUAUUCUGGAUGUUUCUAAGAGGCUGUUUUUAGAUGAGAUUUACGUUUAAAUCAGUGAACUUUGAGUAAAAGUUGCCUUCCAUAAUGUGGGUGGGCCUCGUGCAAUCAGUUGAAGGUACAAAGAGAACAAGAGACUGACCGCCUCGACCAAGAAGAAAUUGUGCUUGCUAUUAAACUGAGUCUGGACUUGAACUGCAACAUCGGCUCCUCCCUGGAUCUCCAGCCUGCUGGCCCACCACAUGGACUUUGAACUUGCCAAUCUCCACCAUUGCCAGGAACUGUGAGCCAAUUCCUUAAAAAUCUCUCUCUCAUAUGUAUAUGAGAACUUUGACUAAUAUAAUCUCUCAUCCAAAAGAAAAUAUCAUCCCAUUAUGAACAACAACAGCCAAAAUAAGGAGUGUGAUAAGAAGGAAAGGAACCCAGAAAAUUACCGUCAGAAGAGAUGGUUCCUAACCUGAACACGAAGAAAAUCAGCGCUUAGGGUAGAGUGUUUGCAACACGAGUACCCACACUGCAAAUGCUUCAUUAAAUUUGCCUUUUCUCAUGCCUGCAAAAAGAAGUAAAUGUAAGUUUGCCCUGGAAGUUGCCCUGGUUUUGGAAAAGGCGAAAAUGGGAGUUUAACAUUUUCCGUCAUGAUGGGAAACGAUACGCAUUUAUUCUUGCAGAAGCCUCUGGCCAGGCUAUGAGCCUGUGUGUUUUGCUCUAUCGUGUGAGGAAAGUGCUUAUGUGCACAACCUGGACAUUGGGAGAACCUGCCGGUUGAAGGCCAAGUUUCACCAGACUACUGGAUUAUUGCACGGAAGUGUUAGCCCUUCCCCAGGGAGAAGCUUUACUGCACAGUGGUGUCAUUAUACAGUAGAGAUGCUGAAGAUUGGUCUGCAUUGAUGCCUUCAGAGGUCAGGAACAUGAGUGCCCCUGAAAGCCGCCUGUAACAUGAAGCCAGGUCGGGCUUUGUCCUUCCCUGCUACUGCUGCUAGAGUUUAGGGGCCCCAGAAUAAGUGAAGGGAGUAGACACGGGAGAGGCUGAAUCCCUUGUCUCCUGAUUUUGAAAUUAUAUGCUACAGAAAGACAAAAUAAAGCAAAAAUUCUUUUUUUCCCCCCCAAAGAUGAUUCCUAGUGGUGAUUCUUUGACUUGAUAUUCUUGGGGUUCAGUUUCUAAAAUCGAGCUCUUUUCUGAGCUGUAACCAGCAAAUAAAAAACAACGCCUUCCACUGUAUCAGAAUUAUCUUAAGAAAGCAUGGCUCUUUGGUGGUCUUUCUCAGGUCUCUCUGAUUUUAGCUACUCGUCUGGCUGCCUCCAUUGCCCACAGUCUAGGGCCCACUGUUUGGAGUCUCUGUCUCUCCUAGGAUACUUCCGUAAUACCGGGGCUCAGCCUGGUAGCAUACAGUGCCCUAAGAAGUGUUUUUUCUGAUAAAACAGUAAAUGUGAUUUUAAGGGACAGAGGGUCAAAGAGUUUCUGCCCUGAAGUCAAAUGGAUUUUGAAGCUUCUCUUCUGUGUAAUAACGUAUCCAAGGUUUGGUGUUGCCUCC